CCUACGGGAGGCAGCAGUGGGGAAUUUUGGACAAUGGGCGAAAGCCUGAUCCAGCCAUGCCGCGUGCAGGAUGAAGGCCUUCGGGUUGUAAACUGCUUUUGUACGGAACGAAACGGUCUCUUCUAAUAAAGGGGGCUAAUGACGGUACCGUAAGAAUAAGCACCGGCUAACUACGUGCCAGCAGCCGCGGUAAUACGUAGGGUGCAAGCGUUAAUCGGAAUUACUGGGCGUAAAGCGUGCGCAGGCGGUUAUAUAAGACAGUUGUGAAAUCCCCGGGCUCAACCUGGGAACUGCAUCUGUGACUGUAUAGCUAGAGUACGGUAGAGGGGGAUGGAAUUCCGCGUGUAGCAGUGAAAUGCGUAGAUAUGCGGAGGAACACCGAUGGCGAAGGCAAUCCCCUGGACCUGUACUGACGCUCAUGCACGAAAGCGUGGGGAGCAAACAGGAUUAGAUACCCUGGUAGUCCACGCCCUAGACUAGUCACACGUUGUUGGUUCGGUUCUACUGNUCUAGUACGAACGAUACGACCGNGAGUAGUACG
rnacentral:rRNA from 1 species